rnacentral:rRNA from 1 species
UACGUAGGGGGCUAGCGUUGUCCGGAUUUAUUGGGCGUAAAGAGCGUGUAGGCGGCCAGGUAGGUCUGCUGUGAAAACUCGAGGCUCAACCUCGAGACGUCGGCGGAAACCAUCUGGCUAGAGUCCGGAAGAGGAGAGUGGAAUUCCUGGUGUAGCGGUGAAAUGCGCAGAUAUCAGGAAGAACACCCGUGGCGAAGGCGGCUCUCUGGGACGGUACUGACGCUGAGGCACGAAGGUCAGGGGAGCAAACAGG